rnacentral:rRNA from 1 species
AGAGUUUGAUCCUGGCUCAGGACGAACGCUGGCGGCGUGCUUAACACAUGCAAGUCGAACGGAAAGGCCCUUCGGGGUACUCGAGUGGCGAACGGGUGAGUAACACGUGGGUGAUCUGCCCUGCACUUUGGGAUAAGCCUGGGAAACUGGGUCUAAUACCGAAUAUGACCAUGCGCCUCCUGGUGUGUGGUGGAAAGCUUUUGCGGUGUGGGAUGGGCCCGCGGCCUAUCAGCUUGUUGGUGGGGUGAUGGCCUACCAAGGCGACGACGGGUAGCCGGCCUGAGAGGGUGUCCGGCCACACUGGGACUGAGAUACGGCCCAGACUCCUACGGGAGGCAGCAGUGGGGAAUAUUGCACAAUGGGCGCAAGCCUGGUGCAGCGACGCCGCGUGGGGGAUGACGGCCUUCGGGUUGUAAACCUCUUUCACCAUUGACGAAGGUUCGGGUUUUCUCGGAUCGACGGUAGGUGGAGAAGAAGCACCGGCCAACUACGUGCCAGCAGCCGCGGUAAUACGUAGGGUGCGAGCGUUGUCCGGAAUUACUGGGCGUAAAGAGCUCGUAGGUGGUUUGUCGCGUUGUUCGUGAAAUCUCACGGCUUAACUGUGAGCGUGCGGGCGAUACGGGCAGACUAGAGUACUGCAGGGGAGACUGGAAUUCCUGGUGUAGCGGUGGAAUGCGCAGAUAUCAGGAGGAACACCGGUGGCGAAGGCGGGUCUCUGGGCAGUAACUGACGCUGAGGAGCGAAAGCGUGGGGAGCGAACAGGAUUAGAUACCCUGGUAGUCC